rfam:Alkalitalea saponilacus strain DSM 24412 genome assembly, contig: LV88DRAFT_scaffold00016.16
AGUAGCUACGUUUGGAAGAGAUAAGUGCUGAAAGCAUCUAAGCACGAAGCUCGUCUCAAGAUGAGAUCUCCAUAUAGGGACGUUGGAGACUACAACGUUGAUAGGCUGCAGGUGUAAAGAUGGUGACAUCAAAGCCGAGCAGUACUAAUUACCCGAAGCUUUCUGAGC